rnacentral:rRNA from 1 species
GAGAAGCGGGGGAACCCUGCGAGUAAAGCGGCGAACGGGUGAGUAACACGUGGGUAACCUACCCUCGAGACCGGGAUAACCUUCCGAAAGGAGGGCUAAUACCGGACGAGACCACGGAGCGCAUGCUCAGCGGUCAAAGGUGGCCUCUGCAAGCAAGCUACCGCUCGGGGAUGGGCCCGCGGGCCAUUAGCUAGUUGGCGGGGUAAUGGCCCACCAAGGCGAAGAUGGCUAGCUGGUCUGAGAGGAUGGCCAGCCACACUGGGACUGAGACACGGCUCAGACUCCUACGGGAGGCAGCAGUGGGGAAUUUUGGACAAUGGGGGAAACCCUGAUCCAGCGACGCCGCGUGGGUGAUGAAGGCCUUCGGGUCGUAAAGCCCUGUCGGAGGGGACGAAAUGCGAGAGGGCGAACAGCCUUCUUGCUUGACGGUACCCUCAAAGGAAGCACCGGCUAACUCCGUGCCAGCAGCCGCGGUAAGACGGAGGGUGCAAGCGUUGCUCGGAAUUACUGGGCGUAAAGGGCGCGUAGGCGGCCUGCUAAGUUCGGUGUGAAAGCCCCCGGCUCACCCGGGGAAGGGCGCCGGAUACUGGCAGGCUAGAGUACCGGAGAGGAGGGUGGAAUUCCUGGUGUAGCGGUGAAAUGCGUAGAUAUCAGGAGGAACACCGGUGGCGAAGGCGGCCCUCUGGACGGAUACUGACGCUGAGGCGCGAAAGCGUGGGGAUCAAACAGGAUUAGAUACCCUGGUAGUCCACGCCGUAAACGAUGGGGACUAGGUGUGGGGGGUAUUGACCCCUCCCGUGCCGACGCUAACGCAUUAAG